rnacentral:rRNA from 1 species
CUGAGUACGACGGAGCACGUGAAAUUCCGUCGGAAUCUGGGAGGACCAUCUCCUAAGGCUAAAUACUCUCUAGUGACCGAUAGUGAACCAGUACCGUGAGGGAAAGGUGAAAAGCACCCCGGAAGGGGAGUGAAAUAGAACCUGAAACCGUGUGCUUACAAGUAGUCAGAGCCCGUUAAUGGGUGAUGGCGUGCCUUUUGUAGAAUGAACCGGCGAGUUACGAUUUGAUGCAAGGUUAAGCAGUAAAUGUGGAGCCGUAGCGAAAGCGAGUCUGAAUAGGGCGUUUAGUAUUUGGUCGUAGACCCGAAACCAGGUGAUCUACCCUUGGUCAGGUUGAAGUUCAGGUAACACUGAAUGGAGGACCGAACCGACUUACGUUGAAAAGUGAGCGGAUGAACUGAGGGUAGCGGAGAAAUUCCAAUCGAACCUGGAGAUAGCUGGUUCUCUCCGAAAUAGCUUUAGGGCUAGCCUCAAGUGAUGAUUAUUGGAGGUAGAGCACUGUUU